rnacentral:misc_RNA from 1 species
UCUCCGUAGGUGAACCUGCGGAGGGAUCAUUACGGAGUUCUCGCCCUCGCGGGUAGAUCUCCCACCCACUGUUAUUGUUACUGUGUUGCUUUGGCGGGCCGCCGGGCCCCGCUCGGCCGCCGGCUCCGGCUGGCGCGCGCCCGCCAGAGGCCCCGCAAACUCUGAAUGUUAGUGUCGUCUGAGUACUAUAUAAUAGUUAAAACUUUCAACAACGGAUCUCUUGGUUCUG